rnacentral:miRNA from 1 species
UUUUACACAUGAUUUGGGUUGGAC